GCCGAUUUAGCUCAGUCGGUAGAGCAACCGUCUCGUAAGCGGUAGGUCGCCAGUUCGAUUCUGGCAAUCGGCA
rnacentral:tRNA from 1 species